CUCCCUCCCACCCCGCCUCCUUACACACACUCACGCACACUCACACACACACCCUGCUUCCAACCACUCUUUGCCCUGUUUAAGUUUAGCCCAAUCCUGUUCAUUCCUCCACACCCUCUGCCCGGAUCCUCCCUGUGGACCUGACCAUGCCAGCCCCUCCCCAUCCUUUACAAAUACUCCUGAGGACAGACAGUGCCUUAGAUUGCCUAUUGCCCCCUGCUCUGCACUGCUAGGUGUUCCUUUUGUCAUUCCCUGUGCCUGCUCCAAAAAGAUGGAGCCACGCCCACAGGGACAUGGCCAUGAGCACAGCCAUGGAGGUGGGCACCCUCCUGGCCCUGGGGACCACCAUCCCCCUGGCCCUGGGCACAGCCAUGGAGGUGGGCACCCUCCUGGCCCUGGGGACCACCAUCCCUCUGGCCCUGGGCACAGCCAUGGAGGUGGGCACCCUCCUGGCCCUGGGCACAGCCAUGGCCCUGGGCACCCCCCUGGCCCUGGAAACCACCCUCCAUGUCCCCACCCUGGAUCAGGGCACUGUCCUGGAAGGGGCCACCCACCAGGGCCCCCUGGGCACCCCCCUGGUCCACAUCACUGAGGAAGCAGAAGAAAAGGACCCAAGAAUGUGGAGCCUGAUCUAGCAUGGAGCCUGAACCAGAAUCUUCUGUUCCUAAUAAACAGCCUCCUAGAGGCCACAUUCUACU